CAGCCGGGUAAUUCCAGCUCCAAUAGCGUAUAUUAAAGUUGUUGCAGUUAAAAAGCUCGUAGUUGAAUUUCGGGGUUAGUAGGUUGGUCAUGCCUCUGGUAUGUACUGGUCUCACUGAUUCCUCCUUCCUGAUGAACCUUAAUGCCAUUAAUUUGGUGUUUUGGGGAAUUUGGACUGUUACUUUGAAAAAAUUAGAGUGUUUAAAGCAAGCUAACGCUUGAAUACAUUAGCAUGGAAUAAUGAAAUAGGACGUUCGAUCCUAUUUUGUUGGUUUCUAGGAUUGACGUAAUGAUUAAUAGGGAUAGUUGGGGGCAUUAGUAUUCAAUUGUCAGAGGUGAAAUUCUUGGAUUUAUUGAAGACUAACUACUGCGAAAGCAUUUGCCAAGGAUGUUUUCAUUAAUCAAGAACGAAAGUUAGGGGAUCGAAGACGAUCAGAUACCGUCGUAGUCUUAACCAUAAACUAUGCCGACUAGGGAUCGGAUGAUGUUAAUUUUUUAAUGACUCAUUCGGCGCCUUACG
rnacentral:misc_RNA from 1 species